rnacentral:rRNA from 1 species
CUUUACUGCAACUUGACGUUGGAACUUGGCUGUAUUUGUGUAGGAUAGGUGGGAGACUUUGAAGCAGGGCCGCCAGGUCUUGCGGAGUCGUCGUUGAAAUACCACCCUGGUGCUGACGAGUUUCUAACCGUGUCCGUAAGCCGGACAUGAGACAGCGUCUGGUGGGCAGUUUGACUGGGGCGGUCGCCUCCUAAAGGUAACGGAGGCAUCCAAAGGUCCCCUCAGCGUGGUCGGUAAUCACGCGCAGAGUGCAAACGCAUAAGGGGGCUUAACUGCGAGACCGACAGGUCGAGCAGGUACGAAAGUAGGAGUGAGUGAUCCCGCGGUUUAGCGUGGAAUUGCCGUUGCUCAAUGGAUAAAAGGUA